GGCGGCAUGCCUUACACAUGCAAGUCGAACGGCAGCGCGGGGCAACCUGGCGGCGAGUGGCGAACGGGUGAGUAAUAUAUCGGAACGUGCCCUAGAGUGGGGGAUAACGUAGCGAAAGUUACGCUAAUACCGCAUACGAUCUACGGAUGAAAGUGGGGGAUCGCAAGACCUCAUGCUCAUGGAGCGGCCGAUAUCUGAUUAGCUAGUUGGUAGGGUAAAAGCCUACCAAGGCUUCGAUCAGUAGCUGGUCUGAGAGGACGACCAGCCACACUGGGACUGAGACACGGCCCAGACUCCUACGGGAGGCAGCAGUGGGGAAUUUUGGACAAUGGGCGCAAGCCUGAUCCAGCAAUGCCGCGUGAGUGAAGAAGGCCUUCGGGUUGUAAAGCUCUUUUGUCAGGGAAGAAACGGUUUCUCCUAAUACGGGGGACUAAUGACGGUACCUGAAGAAUAAGCACCGGCUAACUACGUGCCAGCAGCCGCGGUAAUACGUAGGGUGCAAGCGUUAAUCGGAAUUACUGGGCGUAAAGCGUGCGCAGGCGGUUUGGUAAGACGGAUGUGAAAUCCCUGGGCUUAACCUAGGAAUUGCAUUCGUGACUGCCCGGCUAGAG
rnacentral:rRNA from 1 species